GACGAACGCUGGCGGCGUGCCUAAUACAUGCAAGUAGGACGCAGUUGCGAACGGGUGAGUAACGCGUAGGUAACUGCCUAUUAGAGGGGGCUAACUAUUGGAAACGAUAGCUAAUACCGCAUACUAGUAGAUGGACCUGCGUUGUAUUAGCUAGUAGGUAGGGUAAUGGCCUACCUAGGCAACGAUACAUAGCCGACCUGAGAGGGUGAUCUGCCACACUGGGACUGAGACACGGCCCAGACUCCUACGGGAGGCAGCAGUAGGGAAUCUUCGGCAAUGGGGGGAAGCCUGAUCGAGCAACGCCGCGUGAGUGAAGAAGGUGUUCGGGUCGUAAAGCACUGUUGGUAAGGAAGCGGUACUGAAGCAGAAAGGGACGGCUAACUACGUGCAAGCAGCCGCGGUAAUAC
rnacentral:rRNA from 1 species